rnacentral:rRNA from 1 species
AGUGAACGCUGGCGGUAGGCCUAACACAUGCAAGUCGAACGGCAGCACAGUAAGAGCUUGCUCUUACGGGUGGCGAGUGGCGGACGGGUGAGGAAUACAUCGGAAUCUACUUUUUCGUGGGGGAUAACGGAGGGAAACAUACGCUAAUACCGCAUACGACCUACGGGUGAAAGCAGGGGAUCUUCGGACCUUGCGCGAUUGAAUGAGCCGAUGUCGGAUUAGCUAGUUGGCGGGGUAAAGGCCCACCAAGGCGACGAUCCGUAGCUGGUCUGAGAGGAUGAUCAGCCAUACUGGAACUGAGACACGGUCCAGACUCCUACGGGAGGCAGCAGUGGGGAAUAUUGGACAAUGGGCGCAAGCCUGAUCCAGCCAUACCGCGUGGGUGAAGAAGGCCUUCGGGUUGUAAAGCCCUUUUGUUGGGAAAGAAAAGCAGUAGGUUAAUACCUCGCUGUUUUGACGGUACCCAAAGAAUAAGCACCGGCUAACUUCGUG